rnacentral:rRNA from 1 species
GACGGAGGAGGCAAGCGUUAUCCGGAAUUAUUGGGCGUAAAGCGUCCGCAGGCGGCUUUUUAAGUCUGUUGUCAAAGCCCACAGCUCAACUGUGGAUCGGCAAUGGAAACUGGGAAGCUAGAGUGUGGUAGGGGUAGAGGGAAUUCCCGGUGUAGCGGUGAAAUGCGUAGAUAUCGGGAAGAGCACCAGUGGCGAAGGCGCUCUACUGGGCCACAACUGACGCUCAGGCACGACAGCGUGGGGAGCAAACAGG